rnacentral:rRNA from 1 species
AUUGAACGCUGGCGGCAGGCCUAACACAUGCAAGUCGAACGAGUGGCGGACGGGUGAGUAAUGUCUGGGAAACUGCCUGAUGGAGGGGGAUAACUACUGGAAACGGUAGCUAAUACCGCAUACCAUCAGAUGUGCCCAGAUGGGAUUAGCUAGUUGGUGGGGUAAUGGCUCACCAAGGCGACGAUCCCUAGCUGGUCUGAGAGGAUGACCAGCCCCAUGGGAACUGAGAACGGGCCCGGCCCCGACGGGAGGCAACAGUGGGGAAAUUUGGACAAUGGGGCCAAGCCUGAUGCAGCCAUGCCGCGUGUAUGAAGAAGGCCUUCGGGUUGUAAAGUACUUUCAGCGGGGAGGCGUUACCCGCAGAAGAAGCACCGGCUAACUCCGUGCCAGCAGCCGCGGUAAUAC